UACGGGGGGGGCAAGCGUUGUUCGGAAUUACUGGGCGUAAAGGGUUUGUAGGUGGCUUGUUAAGUCAGACGUGAAAUCCCUCAGCUUAACUGGGGAACUGCGUCUGAUACUGGCGAGCUUGAGUGCAGGAGAGGAACGCGGAAUUCCAGGUGUAGCGGUGAAAUGCGUAGAUAUCUGGAGGAACACCGGUGGCGAAGGCGGCAUCCUGGACCGGCACUGACGCUGAUGAGCGAAAGCCAGGGGAGCAAACGGG
rnacentral:rRNA from 1 species